rnacentral:rRNA from 1 species
GACGAACGCUGGCGGCGUGCCUAAUACAUGCAAGUUGAGCGCUGAAGGUUGGUACUUGUACCAACUGGAUGAGCAGCGAACGGGUGAGUAACGCGUGGGGAAUCUGCCUUUGAGCGGGGGACAACAUUUGGAAACGAAUGCUAAUACCGCAUAAAAACUUUAAACACAAGUUUUAAGUUUGAAAGAUGCAAUUGCAUCACUCAAAGAUGAUCCCGCGUUGUAUUAGCUAGUUGGUGAGGUAAAGGCUCACCAAGGCGAUGAUACAUAGCCGACCUGAGAGGGUGAGCGGCCACGUUGGGACGGAGACACGGCCCAAACUCCUACGGGAGGCAGCAGUAGGGAAUCUUCGGCAAUGGACGAAAGUCUGACCGAGCAACGCCGCGUGAGUGAAGAAGGGUUUCGGAUCGUAAAACUCUGUUGGUAGAGAAGAACGUUGGUGAGAGUGGAAAGCUCAUCAAGUGACGGUAACUACCCAGAAAGGGACGGCUAACUACGUG